rnacentral:rRNA from 1 species
GACGAACGCUGGCGGCGUGCUUAACACAUGCAAGUCGAACGGAAAGGCCCUGCUUUUGUGGGGUGCUCGAGUGGCGAACGGGUGAGUAACACGUGAGUAACCUGCUCUUGACUUUGGGAUAACUUCACGAAACUGGGGCUAAUACCGUAUAGGAUAUCCUGCUGCAUGGAGGGCGUUGGAAAUUUUCGGCGGUUGGGGUUGGAUUGGCGGGUUAUCAGCUUGUUGGUCGGGUAGGCGUUUACCCAGGCUUUGACCGGUCGGCGGCCUGAGAGGGUGGCCGGCCUCCUGGCGACUGCGAGACGGCCCAGACGCCAACGGGAGGCAGAAGUGGGGAACCUUGCCCAAUGGGAGGAAGCCGGAGGAGGAAACCCUGCGGUCGUGAUGCCGGCCUUCGGGUUAUAAAACGCUUUCGCCUGUGACGAAGCGUUAGUGACGGUAAUGGAUAAAGAAGCACCGGCUAACUACGUG